GGUGGGAGCAGCUCAGUAGCAGUCCCGCUGUCAGAGGGUGCAGUCGGCAUGGUGGAUGCUAUUUUCUGCGUUACGAAAUUUGUAUUCACUGAAAUUGAAAAAUUUUCUGGAGUCACUUAAAUUUUUUGCCUCCAUGUAACCAACCAAAUCCACUUAACCCUUAACCAAAUAGUUUCAGGAGAACAUGAAAAUCGAAGAGGCCGGAUAUCAGCGUUUAACGCGGGAGAAAGUGUGAAUAUAUCAGGAUAAAUCGAGGGUGCGGUGAGAUCAUGAUCGAAGAAUCCAUCAGAACUUACUCCAAGCCGUAUUAGAUAUUCCUUCGUAUAAAUUCACUCUGCAUGAUGGAUUUGGUGAAGAUUAAAGGGAUGAGCUGGGAAGAAUAUCAAUUGUGAAAGGCAUAGUGGUUAUUUUUAUCGAGUUGUCGACGCUCCCAAGUGAUCUUUUAUUGAAUGAAAGAUUUAGUGAACCAUUCAAUUUGAAAUGCUAAGGUAUAUUGUGUUGUAUCAAAAAUUUAUAAUCAUGUGGAAUCAGAAAUCCCGAAGGUUUGUUAGAUUAAUCAUCAAGUGUGGGAAUUUAUCAUUAUUCAAUGACUCCUAAAAUGUCAUGACUUAAAUAAUUUUCCUGCAUAUUUUCGAAAUCUUCCCGAAAUUCCUAAAACUCUGAAAAAAAUUCUAGAAAAGUAUUGCACGUUCAUGAAGCUGUGCAAGUUAAAAAACAAUUGUAAAAUGCAAAAACGAUAUAUUUUUUCGUCUCAAUCCAAUCAACGAUUUGUCAUACAAAUUAAAAAAUCGAUAAUUUUGGUUAAAAAGAGGGCCAACAUCCUUAAAGGUUAUUACAUUUUUGAAUUAAGGAAACAAUUAAAAAAUAUUCAUAGAAAUGUAAUUUAGGAAUUUAAAGAAUUAAGUGUUUGUAUUUGCAGGAAAUAAUUUUUAAUUAUUUUUUAAAAGAAAAAGAAGAUACCUUUCCAAAUUUAAUCCAAAAAUGCUCCCAUCCCAAAAUUAUUACUUAUUAUAAUUGAUUUACUCUAUGGAAUAAAUACUGUAGGUUAUCUAUUCGAAGAUCUCGUAAGACCUUCAAUAGUAAUAAGAUAUGUUUUUUACAUCACUCUAAGUUUUUCCAUUUU